rnacentral:lncRNA from 1 species
UAUAUUAAAACUACUUCAUAGUUGAAGGAGGAAUAAAUAAAAUUAAUUAGUACUUUUAUGUCAAAAUAGUUAUUGUGAUAAAAUUUAGUCAGAAUAGGGAAAUAUAAAUCAAAUUAAUUACUUCUAAGACAAUAAUGAUGGUUUAGAUCGAUAUUUUUCUUGGACUUAUGGAUCUGAGUCCACUCAUAGUUCCAUUGAAUUCAUAUCUGUAUAUGACAUCAUGAAUCUCCUCUCUUCAGAAAAGGUUCUUAUGCCUUACUCGAUGGAUGUCGUCUCAGAAAUAUGAAACAUUACCCAAAACGUUAUUGUCGAAAGCCACUUUACCGAACUGACACUUUACCGAACGGACAGUUUGCCUAUGGACCACUUUGCCGAAUGACCACUUUCCAAAUAAAAUAUUGCCUUUUUGAAAUGGCCGAAAAUUUCUAUUGGUACAUUGUAGAUCUGGGCUUCAAAGUUAGAUAUCUAGCCGACGGAAAUUUUAAUUAUAAAGUCAAGUGAUUUACAGGCUUGGAAUUUCUCCCAGUCAUUGAUGUAAUUGACAGGGUUUAUAAAACUCCCGACGGCGAUGAUAUACUGAAAGAAUUUGUUUCUUACUUAGAAACGAAUUAUAUUGGAGGAGAAUAAGCUUGUGGAGAAAACCUGUUUAGAGUAAAACCAUAAUUUCCAAUUGAAAUUUGGAAUAUGUACGAAAAUACUCAAGCUAUGACGAUUCAAAAUAAUAAUAGUGCAGUAGAGUUACACAACGCUUUAAGAGCUCUGUUAGUUAUAUUCAUUCCGACGUAUUGAAAGACGCUUUUAAGAAGGAAAAGAGCCUACAAAGAAAAAAAAGUGAUUUAGACAGGUGCUAGAUAAUACCAAUAUCCGAAAAAUAUUGAAGUAUAAAUAGAAGGAUCUACAACAUUAUCCUUAAUUAUAAUUCAGACAAAAAGAUGGAAUAUUUAAGAAACAUACCUUGAAAUUUUAAUACGUUUUAUGAUUUAUUCUUCGUUAUGUAUUAUUUAUCUUAAAUAUCAUAUUUUGUAAUGUAUUUUUUUGAUUUCAUUACCCUUAAAAAAAAGUUAUAGAAAUAAAUCAUGUAAAUAUA